CGCAGUCGGAGUCGUGGUAGGAGGUCUAGGUCAGCUUCCUACCGCAGGUCCAGGUCAGUCUCUCCUAGAAGGUAUAGAUCGUUUUCACCCCGCAGGUCUCGGUCUGGUUCUUUAAGGAGAUCAAGAUCUAGGUCCAGAUCACGCUCAAGGUCCCGGUCUGUUGUAUGGCCUCGAAGCAGGUCUGGGUCCCAUGGUAGAUCUAAAUCUGGCUUACCUGCUAAAAGUCGCUCGAAGUCCAGAUCACCAUCUCCAAAGAGAAGUCACUCACCAUCAGGAAGCCCUUGAAGGAGUACAAGUCCGGAAAGAAUGGAUUCGAAUUUAAAAAGUUUAAGAAGAAAAUUUAUUUUGUUUACAUUAUUAUAAGGGAUUUUGUGGUGUCUUUAUAAAUGUAAGGGCUUAGUCCUAGAAGGAUGUUUCUCUUGACUAACAAUUGGCAUGAAUCUGGAUCUCUUAAAAGUCUUAAGAGUAGACUAAUGCAAGACUUUUGUUGUGUUAACGUUCUGUGAUUUGGAGAUGUUGGGCUUUUUUUAUUGGUGCAUUGAAAUAAACUGUGCAUUUCUAAC